rfam:Daphnia pulex DAPPTscaffold_5094_Cont16293, whole genome shotgun sequence.
GGUCGUGUGGCAUAAUGGAUAAGGCGUCGGAUUUCUAUGAAAGUAGUUUUCCGAAAAUUGCGGGGUCGAGUCCCGCCACGAAUU